rnacentral:rRNA from 1 species
UGGAGGAAAGUAGGGGAUCGAAAGACCUUGCGCUUAAGGAGCGGCCGAUGUCUGAUUAGCUAGUUGGUGGGGUAAAGGCCUACCAAGGCGACGAUCAGUAGUUGGUCUGAGAGGACGACCAACCACACUGGGACUGAGACACGGCCCAGACUCCUACGGGAGGCAGCAGUGGGGAAUUUUGGACAAUGGGCGCAAGCCUGAUCCAGCCAUGCCGCGUGAGUGAAGAAGGCCUUCGGGUUGUAAAGCUCUUUCAGUUGGGAAGAAACGAUUACAACUAAUAAUUGUAAUUAAUGACGGUACCGACAGAAGAAGCACCGGCUAACUACGUGCCAGCAGCCGCGGUAAUACGUAGGGUGCGAGCGUUAAUCGGAAUUACUGGGCGUAAAGGGUGCGCAGGCGGUUUUGUAAGUCAGAUGUGAAAUCCCCGGGCUUAACCUGGGAAUGGCGUUUGAA